UUAGCUUGAGAUAAGCUAUACAAUCAAAUUCAGCUCGUUUUAUAUAAAGUUCAUAACUGCUGUUUAUUGGAAAAAGUCACCCUGUGAUCCGUUGCUGCCAUUGUUUGACAGUUGUUUGUUUGGGUUUGUUUCAAUAUUGUUUAGGGAAAUACUUUCAGCUCGUAAUGGAUUCAGUGCCGCGAGAUUUAAUAAAUAUUUGUCGAUUUUGUCUGUGCCAGGACGAAAAUAAACUUCGUUCAAUCGAAGAAAUAUUACCACUUUCAAUCAAAGAUGUAGAACGUUUCACCGGCAUAAAGAUAAACAUGGACGAAAACUUAACGUACGCGAUAUGUUUUGAUUGUACACAAAAAUUGAAAAUCUCAGCCAAUUUCCGACAGUUUUGUUUGAAAAAUAAUGUGCACUUUCAAGAGCUGAUCGGCGUACUGUUGGCUAGUAUGAAAAGUGUCCCUAUCGAAUCUAUUCAACCUAUAAUGCAUGAAGAAAAGGAUCCGUUAGAUUUACAUUUUGUUGUCGUAGAUAACGACAACGAAGAUAAAGAAAUUAAACUAGAAGAUGAUGUUGCUGCUGGUUUUGAAAACAAUGAUAAUAAUGCUUACAAUCACCAUCAGAAGGCAUGGAGCGAAUACUCUGCCAAUUACAUCGCUCUAGGCGAAUGUGUAGAAAGUGAUGACCGUGAGCCUACUUUCUGUAUUUUCGACCAUGAAUAUUCUGCAUUAUCGAAAAAAAGCGGAAAUAAAACAUCACAAGUCUGUUCUAAAAAUAGGACCAAGCCCACUGUAGCAAUCCCGCCGAAUGAACACCCACCGUUGCGCAAAACUUUAACGACACGAACCAAAAAAUCAUAUCGCCGCCUGCAAUUAUGCAGUUUGUGUGGUAAGCUAGUUAAAAACUAUGAAUUCCAUCUUAGAUUUCAUGCAAAUGAAAGGAAGCAUGCUUGUCCACACUGCCCUCAGCGGAUGACCGAUAAAGGUAACCUGGACAGGCAUGUAAAGGCCGUCCAUCUGAAAAUCAUAGUAAAAACAUGCCCAGUCUGCGGCAGGGGUUUCACAAACAAUAAUUCCUACCAAACGCAUAUGGUAGGCCGACACGGCACUGGCACUCGGGUUGCAUGCAUGGUGUGUUCAAGAACGUUUUGUCACAAAUCAAAAUUACCCCUACACAUGAAAAGAGCUCAUUCAAAUGUUCGGGAUACGCCUUGUGACAUCUGCGGUAAACCAUUCAAGGACAAGUAAGCCGACACAAACGUCAACAGCUGAAGAAUCACAUGAGAGUCCAUUCGACAGAUCAACCGUUUCCGUGCGGCAAAUGUCCAAAGCGGUUUAAAAGUAGGUAUGCUAUGAAAACUCACGAACUAACCCACAGCGGAAUAUUGUUUGAUUGUGUCCUGUGUGGGAAAAAAUAUCGUUACAAAUCACUGCUCAACAUGCACAUCAGAAAGAUGCACUCAGAGAAGGAGGAACUGGAAAAUGAGGAAGAAUAUGUAGGGCACAACAGCGGCCAAAUGUUUCCCUUGGAUGAUGACUGAUUCCUGCAUUUGAUCAGUAAUUUAAAAAAAACAAUCAAAACUUAUCACAAACAAUACACAUAACGCAUGUAGGGACAUCAUAUACCAUUUUUGGAAUUGGCUCUGUGUGAGGCUGCGUAUGUACAGUUGAAUUCAUAUUCUUUUUGUUUUAAGCAAACUUCCUUGUUAGCUCGUUAGUAACAUAUUAAGCAUUUCAGGCGAUUUUGGGAAAGAGAACAGUAAUAAAUAUAUAAAUAGAUCGUUGGAUCGAAUUUGAAGGAAUUGUGACCAUUUUUUUUAUCUUUUAAUUAAAUUUUAUGCUAUGAAAUACGCGAAUCCGCGUAUGUUUCGUGUGCUUAUGGAACACAUUCAUGUAUGCGUAGUAAACAAUACAUGUUGCAAGAGUGUGCGUGCGUGUGUGUGAAAUAUCUUCCGUUGAAGGAUAUUUGACAUUUGGUAUGAGCGGCAAUAUUUGUCAACAAUCUUUCUGCGUCUCGAGAUGGCAACAACAUCGCAGGAAAUGUUCACCAUUUGUCGCUUCUGUUUGUGCCAGGACGACGCAUAUUUGAUACCUAUAACAAGUUUGUCCGAAUUUGCAAUUACCAUGCAAGAUUUAGUGCUAUUUACCGGGAUUCAGAUAAGUGCGGACCGAGUAGGAUCAUACGCAAUAUGUCUGGAAUGUACAAACAAAUUGAAAAUUUCUACCACCUUCCGGAACACCUGCCUAAGCAAUGAUACUCUUUUCCACGAGCUAUGCGCUGUCCUGACUGCCAGUGCUGAAUUGACACGGGAUGAGACUGCUGAAUAUUUAGAAAGUGAUGUCGAGGUGGAAGACACGAUUUGUUUCGACACGCUUGAUGAACAACCUGUAGAAUAUUCCGGCAAAUGUAGUCCAAAAAAUAACCAGGAGAUCCUGUACGAGGAAGAGUAUAUUCAGGAAUAUUUGCAAGAUUUAAGCACAAUUGCAAAAUUCGAAAACGAAGAUGAGCUUUCGUACUCAGCUAAUUAUAUAGCACCUGGAGAAACAUGGUCCGAUGAUGACGAAUGUGGAGCAGAUAUGGUGGAUCUAAUCGGGUUUGAAAAAAAUAACAAACGACCAUAUUUUGUUAAACGCAAACGGGAUAUUCCGUUACCUGCUGUACAGUACAGCGAUACUUCUACAACGACCACCGUGGAUAAUGAGUGGUUUGAACAAGAUCGUCCGACUGGCAAACGUAAGCAACAUCUUUGCGAGAUGUGUGGUUUAAUGACGAAUCAUCUAAAAAGCCACAGGGUCAAUCAUCUUAAGGAUGUCGGCGAGGCAUGUCCACAUUGUGCGAAAAAGUUUAAACAUAAAACCAACCUAGUAUCGCAUAUCAAAACUGUACACAUGAAGGUGAUAGGAAAAACAUGUACCAUCUGUAGUAAAGGCUUCAUUCAUCAUAAAACUUACAGAUAUCAUAUGCUGAGCCAUCAAAGUGAGGGGAAAAAAUUCGAAUGCAAGGCAUGUUCAAAAACGUUCGUGAGCGCUGUCUGCUUAAGAGACCAUUUCAAUAGACUUCAUAACAUUACACGAAAAAACUAAGGCACAAAUAAAUAACUUUCCGGGAAAUGAUGAUAUUGCACUGAAUUUA